UCCCUACGGGAGGCAGCAGUGAGGAAUAUUGGUCAAUGGGCCUACGCCUGAACCAGCCAAAUCGCGUGAGGGAAGACUGCCCUAUGGGUUGUAAACCUCUUUUGUCAGGGAGCAAUUGGCGCUACGUGUAGCGUUAUCGAGAGUACCUGAAGAAAAAGCAUCGGCUAACUCCGUGCCAGCAGCCGCGGUAAUACGGAGGAUGCGAGCGUUAUCCGGAUUUAUUGGGUUUAAAGGGUGCGUAGGCGGAAGGUUAAGUCAGCGGUCAAAUGUCGGUGCUCAACACCGGCCUGCCGUUGAAACUGGUC
rnacentral:rRNA from 1 species